UGAGUUGGUUAUACAUUCUU
rnacentral:miRNA from 1 species